ACCGUUAAUCCGGACAAGAGAGAGAAGUAAACAGACUGAAGAGCUCCGGGUUCGAGCUCAACCUGGAGAGAAAUAAUAAUCCAUAAUCAAUAAUCAAUAAUCAAACUAUCGAAGGAUGGAAACCUUCAGCAAACGAGCUUUAGACACGAUCUACACGGCGGUGAGUUCACGAGCGCACACCUGUCCGGUCUCACCUGUUCGGAGUUUAAUAAAGAGGUUAUUACAGCAGGUCACCUAUCGAACCCGAACCCUCUAACCCAAAGAGAGCUGUUAUCUGUUACAGCAGGUAACAGACGAGAGUUUAGAAGAAAACAAGAUUCUGAAGAUUCACUGGAACCGAAAAUUAAAACCUUUUAAUUAAAACAGUUUAAAAGCUUCAAAAAUUCACCAGAAUCAGAGAGUUUAGUUUUCAUCCGAGAGAAUUUAGAGGAGAGAAGAAGAAGAAAACAGAGUCUCAGAGUCUGGCAGUCAAAUCUUGUCCCUGAUCGAGGACUUCAGCUGCUCCACAGUUCAGGGUCUCCUUAGUCCUGGUUUUGGAGUCAUGAUGGUCCAAAUGUGUCGGAUUUUAAUGUUCUCUUUUCACCUUCGGUCUCAGGUCCUGCUGGCCGUUGUGGUCUUGUCCUGGUCUUAUGUGAUCUACUCCAGCAGGAUUUCAUCUGAUCUGAUCCUGGAGAAGAAAACCGGACCCGGACCAUGAGGUCUGUGGUUUUUAAAAACCCUGAGGGACCAGAAUCAGAGUCAAGUGUCUAUAUCAGAUGUGUUUUCGUGUUUCAGGGUCAGGGUCCAGUUUCUUCUCUCCUUCAGGUCUGGACCACAUCAGACCAGGUCCAGGACACCUUUAAGGAUGAUGAAGGAUCUUCAUUUGAGAGAGCGCGGCGCCAUCCUGAUGGCGUUUUAGUGCCGACCACAGAGCGCCGACCACAGAGCGCCGAAGACUCAACAUCCAAAUUAACCUUCAGAGGACACUGAGGAUGUCUCCUUGUCUCCUUGUACACUCGUCUCCUCCCCUCACGUCCUUCAUGGUCCUUCACUUUUCUCCUCAGACUCCUCUCUGUCUGUCCUCCUGGACUACUUUAAGUCCUCUGUGACCCCCCAGGACUCAGGAACUGUCAAAGACUUGGAGAGACCCUCAAAGACCUGCUUCUGAGGGGUCCAAGGGAAGACUUGAGUCUAUUGGACCAGAUGGGGUCUGGAUCAGACUGUGGACCUGGACCAGGACCAGGUUGUUCCUGAAACCUGCUGAGCCUGAUCCGAAUAAAACUGGAACACGGAGUCGAUGUCGGAAUUUUAACGUUUGUAAUAAACCUGAACUCAGAAUGAACGAACUCUUCUUAUUGGAGCUGUUGGAUUAAACCGCACAGGGGUUCCUAAUGUUGUGGCCGGUGUUCCUAAUGUUGUGACAGGGGUUCCUAAUGUUGUGGCCUGUGUUCCUAAUGUUGUGGCCUGUGUUCCUAAUGUUGUGGCCUGUGUUCCUAAUGUUGUGGCCGGUCAGUGUUAACCUGUUAUUAAUCCCUUAAAUUGAGGUGGAGCGUUUCAUUUGGUUGAUGUUGAUCUCCGUCAGUUUCGGUUCAGGUUAUCUCCAUCCUUCCUGAAAUCUACAUUUACACUUAACUCUCCAUCUCAGUGCAAAGACACACAAAAAAAACACACCACAAACACAAAGGCAACGUCAAUAACCACAACAACUCACAACAGGCGACAAGACAAAAACAACACAACAAAACUACAACAAUACAAACAACAGACACACAUUACUGGACCUUAUUCUCACAGUGUAGCUUUCAGAAAUAAUCAGAUGUUCAAAUAUUAACAAACAUUCGACAUGAUUGAAUUAACUGAUAGAAACAAUAACCAAUAAUUAAUCAGACAAACACUGACUGAUCGUAGCUUCAUCUAAAUAAGGAGCUGUUUGACACCAUAACACCGAGUUAGACCCCGCCUCCAGAGAUGAAUGUUGCCGACCGCUUGAUUCUCGAGUUAUACCAACUUUCCAUUAUAGACUACAGCGGGGUGCCGCAGCUCAAGGAAGAACAUUUAUGAUCAUUUCUUUAUCAUUGAAGUAAUAAUCACCAUAUUGAUCAUUUUACAGACGCUGUAGUUCUUCUGUCUUAGCGUCUCGGUCUGAUUGUAUUUCCAUAAAGAAAUGAUCCUAAAUGUUCUUCCUUGAGCUGCGGCACCCCGCUGUAGUCCGUAAUGGACUGGCCUGAGGUCUCUCUACAAACAAGCGUCUGCUGGAAGAGAGUAGGUGAGUUGUGUUUAGUCUCUUUGUUAAAGAAAUGAGUCAGAGUUAAAAAGAUGUUUGGUGUCUAGUACUAUGUCUGUGACCCUAUAUGUACUAACCUCAGUAGAACAUGGUGUAGUUCCGUUCAGUAACAGAACCUCAUUGGAAAAUUAGCUGAUUUAACUUUACUGUGCUCUUGUUCAAAUAUAUUAACUCGACAGCACAUAAAUCCAUACCUGUUAACAAAAUCAUGAUUUCAUUGAUAAUUCGGCUCAAUAAAAACACCUUUACCUUUUCAUUUUACUACAGUAGAAGUUUAUUGGCCCAGCUUAUAGACUACAGAGGUGGAGAAACGCCCCCUUCUGUAUAUUCUGUCGUGCAAUUUUACGACAGAAUAUCCCUUUAAAAGGAAGAAACUUUAUCGAGAUAUUUCAGAUUUUUCUUUGAUAAAAAAUGAGACAAACACACACAGACACACACUUCAGCGCCGCUGUGUGUGUAUUAAUGAGCUCUAAUGAAUUCAGUAACUAAAGCAGCUCUCUCUCUCAGACACACACACCAUUAUAUCAUAACAAAGACACUUUGAUGUGUGUGUGUGUGUGUGUGUCUGUGUGUGUGUGUAUUAUGUAAAUGUUCUGAACAGAAUGGCUGAGUGGGGGGGCUCUUCAUGUGAGUACUCAUUUAAUUAGCAAAAACACUUCAAACACACACACACACACACACACAGCACCUGUGUGUGUGUGUGUGUGUGUGUGUGUCUGAUGUGUAAUUAAAAACCUGGUUCUGUGGACAAAGACUCUCUGAACAGUCGGACUCUUUCAACCCUGAAUAAUAAUGAUCCUCGUUCACACAAAGACCUGAUUCAGGUGGACCGGGUCUCAGGACUCACUAAUAAAUCAAACAAGAACCGGGUCAAUAAAAAACUGGAAAAUCUGGAUCAGACCGACCCCCCUCUGAGACCCGAUCCACACUCCAAAAUCCAGUCCUGGUCUCUGAAGACCCUCAUUGACUGUCUCUUUAAAAGACUUCAAAGACCUCCAGGACCAGACCUCCAGGACCAGAACUCCAGGACCCGUCUCUCUUCAGGACCUCCAGGACCCCCCAGAUCCUCGUACCCUCACGCCACAUUCACACCAAGUUCUAUGAAAACCAUUUAAAGUCAAAGACGCCGUCAGACGCGGGUUCGACUCUCAGGAAGCGAGCGGAUGAUGAUGUCAUCGGACCGUCACAAAGUGGCGUUAACGUCAGUUCUUCAGUUCUGUAAUAAAGUCGAUCUUUGGAGUUUCCGAACUUUACCUGAGAAUUAUCGUUCGUGUAAAACUCGUGACUUUGACGCGUCGACGUUUAAAAAAAACCACAUUUUUACUUUGAACUUUUUUACAGCGACUGUGUCGCUAACCCGGGAUACGCUGUUUGAGCCGAGCGCCAUCACAGCGCCAUCACAGCGCCAUCACAGCGUCAUCAGAGUCAUCACAGAGUCAUCACAGCGCCAUCACAGAGUCAUCACAGCGUCAUCACAGCGUCAUCACAGCGACUCCAUGAUGCUCCUGCGCAACGUUGGUUUCAGGAAGUGGCGAAAAAAACGCAGAAUAAACGAGAUUAAUUGGGCUCCGAAUUUGUGUCAUAAUGGGAGGCGGAGCCAAGUUAUGUGAAGUAUUAACAGUCUAUGGGUGUGUGUGUUCCUCAUUGUCUCCUGGGCCCUCUCUCUCUUUCUCUCUCUCUCCCUUUCUCUCUCUCUCUCUCUCUCUCUCUCUCUCUCUCUCUCUCUCUCUCUCUCUCUCUCUCUCUCUCUCUCUCUCUC
rnacentral:lncRNA from 1 species